rnacentral:rRNA from 1 species
CUACGGGUCGCUCCAGUGGGGAAUAUUGCACAAUGGGGGGAACCCUGAUGCAGCAACGCCGCGUGGAGGAUGACGCAUUUCGGUGUGUAAACUCCUUUUAUAUGUCAAGAAAAUGACGGUAGCAUAUGAAUAAGCACUGGCUAACUCCGUGCCAGCAGCCGCGGUAAUACGGAGGGUGCAAGCGUUACUCGGAAUCACUGGGCGUAAAGGACGCGUAGGCGGGUUGGAAAGUCAGGUGUGAAAUCCUACAGCUUAACUGUAGAACUGCACUUGAAACUUCUAAUCUAGAGUAUGGGAGGGGGAGAUGGAAUUAGUGGUGUAGGGGUAAAAUCCGUAGAUAUCACUAGGAAUACCUAAAGCGAAGGCGAUCUCCUGGAACAUUACUGACGCUAAGGCGUGAAAGCGUGGGGAGCAAACAGGAUUAGAUACCCUUGUAGUC